GGGAGUGAAGGUUAGGCUCUGGGGGAAAAGGGGUGUGGGUGUAUCUUUCUCGGAGCCUUGGUACACUGUAAUGGACAACAUCACUGACCGAGUAUUUCCCAUUUCCUAUUUCUAUGCCCUGUUUCCCCAGUGCUCAGAGUUGGAAGCCUCUACCCUGCCUUUCCCUACCAUGGGCUUCUUGCUCCUCUGCUGUGUGGCCUUUUGUCUCUUGAGAACAGGCUCCAUGGAUGCUGGCAUUACCCAGACCCCAAGGCAUGGGAUUAUAAAGACAGGAAAGAGCAUUUUACUGAAGUGUUCUCAGACUAAGGGUCAUAACUAUAUGUACUGUUAUCGACAAGACCCAGGACUGGGGCUACGGCUGAUCUACUACGCCUACGUCAGUGAUAUUAAUGAAGGAGAGGUCUCCAGUGGGUACAAGGCCUCUCGAGAGGGGCUGGCAAAAUUCUCCCUGUCCCUAGGGGCUGCCGUCCCCAACCAAAUAGCUCUCUACUUCUGUGCCAGCAGUGAUUAA